rnacentral:rRNA from 1 species
GGGAAUAUUGCGCAAUGGAGGAAACUCUGACGCAGUGACGCCGCGUAUAGGAAGAAGGUUUUCGGAUUGUAAACUAUUGUCGUGAGGGAAGAAAUUGACAGUACCUCAGGAGGAAGCUCCGGCUAACUAUGUGCCAGCAGCCGCGGUAAUACGUAGGGUGCAAGCGUUAUCCGGAUUUACUGGGUGUAAAGGGCGAGUAGACGGCGUUGCAAGUCAGAUGUGAAAACCUAGGGCUCAACCGUAGGACUGCAUCUGAAACUGUAAUGCUAGAGUGCAGGAGAGGUAAGCGGAAUUCCUAGUGUAGCGGUGAAAUGCGUAGAUAUUAGGAGGAACACCAGUGGCGAAGGCGGCUUACUGGACUGUAACUGACGUUGAGGAGCGAAAGUGUGGGGAGCAAACAG